rnacentral:rRNA from 1 species
GACGAACGCUGGCGGCGUGCUUAACACAUGCAAGUCGAACGGAAAGGCCCUGCUUUUGUGGGGUGCUCGAGUGGCGAACGGGUGAGUAACACGUGAGUAACCUGCCCUUGACUUUGGGAUAACUUCAGGAAACUGGGGCUAAUACCGGAUAGGAGCUCCUGCUGCAUGGUGGAGGUUGGAAAGUUUCGGCGGUUGGGGAUGGACUCGCGGCUUAUCAGCUUGUUGGUGGGGUAGUGGCUUACCAAGGCUUUGACGGGUAGCCGGCCUGAGAGGGUGACCGGCCACAUUGGGACUGAGAUACGGCCCAGACUCCUACGGGAGGCAGCAGUGGGGAAUAUUGCACAAUGGGCGGAAGCCUGAUGCAGCAACGCCGCGUGCGGGAUGACGGCCUUCGGGUUGUAAACCGCUUUCGCCUGUGACGAAGCGUGAGUGACGGUAUGGGUAAAGAAGCACCGGCUAACUACGUG